rnacentral:lncRNA from 1 species
AAAAAAGAUACAGACAUAUCUGCUAUAAUAGCAAAUACUUUUCAGAAGAAUGGAACUUUUGUGGUCACCAGAGGCAUUUUGUUACAUCACCCAUGCUGUGAGUUCUGGAAUGACGUGGCUAACGGAUCUGCCACCAUAUGCCAGAUGGCUGAGUGAUUCAAGGAUAACACAACAGAAAAAACAAAGAACAUGAUAACUAAGGAUAACUAUAAAUAUUCUGGAUUUCACCAAGAAUGCAUUCCACUUGAUUAUUGAAUAUAAAAGGCUGAAUUGCCUACCUGGACCGUAGCACAACCCACAGAUGGUGCAGUAAAGUGACGAAAUGUUUGACACAAAGGAAGAGGAGUCUUUAACCAAUAUCAGUUCACUACCGCCUCCAUCUGUCAUAGAGGACAAUCAGAGACUUCGGGAACAGAAUCAAAUUCUUCAGCAAGAGAACAGAUUCUUGUGUGUUGAGAACAAAGCUUAUUGUCAACAGAAUCAAUUAAUCCUAAGACAGAAUAAAGCUCUUUGGGAACAGAACAGAUUCUUGUGUGUUGAGAACAAAGCUUAUUGUCAACAGAAUCAACUAAUCCUAAGACAGAAUAAAGCUCUUUGGGAACAGAACAGAAAUCUUCAGGAGAAGUAUAUACGCUCUUUAGAAGAAAAACUCUAUGAGAAAUGGCGAUAAUUCUUCCCACCGGGAUCUAGUGCCCACUGGGAAGAGGACAGAGUUCUCAGAGUACAGGAAAUGGUGCGUGAGAUGCAGGUCAAAGCUCGGUGGGAAGAGCUUUUAGCUCUAUGGGAGGAAGAAAAGGCCAGGUUUCUUCAAGAGUGCAACAGAGUCUUCGAGGGAAAAAAGAAAGCUCUCUGUGAUGAAAAAAAUGCCCUUGCUGCUCAGCAACGUCACCUUCUAAGAGAGAAUAGGGCACUUCAAGAUGACAAGAUGAUCCUAUAUAGACAGAGAAAAGUAUUCCAAAAUGAGCAAAAAUUCCUCCAUGAGUGGUAUAACAUCCUUCAAGAAAAGAAAUAAAUCAAUGAAAGUUUCAGAUGUUUAGAGGGAU